UAUUAAGUUUGAUUUUGGUUUUGGUUGUAUUAAGAUAGUAUUACUUAUUUUUAGUUUAUUUAGUGUGUAAUUUUUUGUUCACUGGUAGUUUUUUUAUUGUUUUAUAAGUGUUCCAGAAUAAUCGGCUAUACAUUUUAAUUUUUAACUCUAUUUGUUGUUAUAUUACUUUUUUUGUUCUUUUUUAUGUUUUUUUUGUAAAAUAUUUUGAUUUUUUGUAUUUUUUUGUAAUAUUUAAAAUUUGGUUUUUGAACUGGAUUAGUACCCAGGUAAUCAAAGUUUAUUAAUUCGGGAGUAAAGUUUUGUUUAAACCGAAAAAAUAUUGACUGACUUUAGAUUUUUCUUUGGAAUAUGUGUUUUUGGAGAGCCCUCUUUUUUGGUGAAUUUUAUUGGCACAUGUAUGAUUGUUUAGUUUUUAUUUUAUUUGUGUUGCUUUUUUUGUUUUUUGCAUUUAAAACAGAUAUAUAUUUGGCUUAUAAAUUUAUUUUUCAUGUGUUACUAUUAUUAAUUUUUUUUGGAUUUGUUUUUUAUUUUAUUUUUGAAAUUGGAAAAGAAAGUAAUUUUUUCUUUAUGUAUUAAUGAAUUUAAUAAAUAAAGUGGUACAAACCAUCCGUCAAUGGCCUAAAGGGGCGUAAGUUGUAGUAUGGUAGAGGUAAGGAAACUUGUCUCUAUUUAGAAGUUUU
rnacentral:ncRNA from 1 species